GGGUCUAAUACUGGAUAUUCAACUUCUAUCGCAUGGUGGUUGUUGGAAAGGGUUUCUGGUCAAGGAGGGACUCGCGGCCUAUCAGCUUGUUGGUGAGGUAAUGGCUCACCAAGGCGACGACGGGUAGCCGGCCUGAGAGGGUGACCGGCCACACUGGGACUGAGACACGGCCCAGACUCCUACGGGAGGCAGCAGUGGGGAAUAUUGCACAAUGGGCGAAAGCCUGAUGCAGCGACGCCGCGUGAGGGAUGACGGCCUUCGGGUUGUAAACCUCUUUCAGUAGGGAAGAAGCGAGAGUGACGGUACCUGCAGAAGAAGCGCCGGCUAACUACGUGCCAGCAGCCGCGGUAAUACGUAGGGCGCAAGCGUUAUCCGGAAUUAUUGGGCGUAAAGAGCUCGUAGGCGGUUUGUCGCGUCUGCCGUGAAAGUCCGGGGCUUAACUCCGGAUCUGCGGUGGGUACGGGCAGGCUAGAGUGCUGUAGGGGAGACUGGAAUUCCUGGUGUAGCGGUGAAAUGCGCAGAUAUCAGGAGGAACACCGAUGGCGAAGGCAGGUCUCUGGGCAGUAACUGACGCUGAGGAGCGAAAGCAUGGGGAGCGAACAGGAUUAGAUACCCUGGUAGUCCAUGCCGUAAACGUUGGGCACUAGAUGUGGGGGACAUUCCACGUUUUCCGCGUCGUAGCUAACGCAUUAAGUGCCCCGCCUGGGGAGUACGGUCGCAAGGUUAAAACUCAAAGGAAUUGAC
rnacentral:rRNA from 1 species